GAUUCCACUGCCGUCUCCAUCAUCAUCACCACCGUCACCAUUAUCACCAUCAUAACCAUCACUUAUCACCAUCACCAUUCACCACUUACCAUCACCAUCACCAUUCACCAUUUACCACCACCAUCACCAUCACCAUCAUCACCGUCAUCACCACCAUAACCAUCACUGUCAUCACCAUAAUCAUCACUUAUCACCAUCAUCAUUCACCACUUACCACCACUAUCAUCACCAACACCAUCAUCAUCACCACUACCAUCAUCACCAUCACCAUCCCCAUUCACUACUUACCACCACCAUCAUCACCAUCACCAUCACCAUUCACCACUUACCACCACCGUCAUCACCAUCACCAUCACCAUUCACCACUUACCACCACUAUCAUCACCAUCACCAUCAUCAUCACCACUACCAUCAUCACCAUCAUCAUCACCAUCAUCAUUCACCACUUACCACCACCAUCAUCACCAUCACCAUCAUCAUUCACCACUUACUACCACUAUCAUCACCAUCACCAUCACCAUUCACCACUUACCACUACCAUCAUCACCAUUCACCACUUACCACCACCAUCGUCACCAUCACCAUCAUCAUCACCAUCACUAUCACCAUCACCAUUCACCACUUACCACCACCAUCAUCACCAUCACCAUCAUCAUCACCAUCACUAUCACCAUCACCAUUCACCACUUACCACCACCAUCACCAUCACCAUCAUCACCAUCAUCACUGUCAUCACUACCAUAACCAUCACUGUCAUCACCAUAAUCAUCACUGUCACCAUCACCAUUCACCACUUAAACCACCACCAUCAUCACCAACACUACCACCACUACCACCUCACUUAAUUUAUGUAUCACUUCUUAUGUACCAG
rnacentral:lncRNA from 1 species